rnacentral:rRNA from 1 species
UGCAGUCGAACGAGACCUUCGGGUCUAGUGGCGCACGGGUGAGUAACGCGUGGAAACCUACCAUUCUGUACGGAAUAACGAUUGGAAACGAUCGCUAAUACCGUAUACGCCCUGUGGGGGAAAGGUCCGCCGCAGAAUGAGGGGUCCGCGUCCGAUUAGCUUGUUGGUGGGGUAAAAGCCUACCAAGGCGAUGAUCGGUAGCUGGUCUGAGAGGAUGAUCAGCCACACUGGGACUGAGACACGGCCCAGACUCCUACGGGAGGCAGCAGUGGGGAAUAUUGGACAAUGGGGGCAACCCUGAUCCAGCAAUGCCGCGUGUGUGAAAGAAGGCCUUAGGGUUGUAAAGGCACUUUUCAAUGGUGAAGAAUGAUGACGGUAGCCGGUAAAAAGAAGCCCCGGGCUUAACUUCCUUGCCAAGCCGCCCGCGGUAUUACGAAGGGGGGGAGCGUUGGUUCGGAAUUACUUGGGGCGUAAAGGGGGCCCAAGGGCGGCAAUCCCAGUCAGGGGUGGAAGCCCCCGGGCUUAACCCGGGAACCUGCCAUUGAAUCU